rnacentral:rRNA from 1 species
GACGAACGCUGGCGGCGUGCCUAAUACAUGCAAGUCGACCUUAGUGGCGAACGGGUGAGUAACUCGUGGGUAACCUGCCCAUCAGAAGGGGAUAAUCCUUGGAAACAGGUGCUAAUACCGUAUACUGAUGGAUGGACCCGCGGUGCAUUAGCUAGUUGUUGAGGUAACGGCUCCCCAAGGCCACGAUGCAUAGCCGACCUGAGAGUGUGAUCUGCAACAUUGGGACUGAGACACGGCCCAAACGCCUACGGUGGGCAGCAGUAGGGAAUCUUAGGCAAUGGAGGAAAGUCUGACCGAGCAACGCCGGGUGAGUGAAGAAGGUUUUCGGAUCGUAAAACUCUGUUGUUAGAGAAGCGGUAUCUAACCAGAAAGCCACGGCUAACGACGGGCCAGCAGCCGCGGUAAUUC